CAGUUAGUUGGCGGGGUAAUAGCCCACCAAGACGAUGAUCGGUAUCCGGCCUGAGAGGGCGCACGGACACACUGGAACUGAAACACGGUCCAGACUCCUACGGGAGGCAGCAGUGGGGAAUUUUGCGCAAUGGGGGAAACCCUGACGCAGCAACGCCGCGUGGAGGAUGAAAUAUCUUGGUAUGUAAACUCCUUUCGAUGGGGAAGAUUAUGACGGUACCCAUAGAAGAAGCCCCGGCUAACUUCGUGCCAGCAGCCGCGGUAAUACGAGGGGGGCAAGCGUUGUUCGGAUUUAUUGGGCGUAAAGGGUGCGUAGGCGGUUUGGCAAGUCUGAUGUGAAAUCUAUGGGCUCAACCCAUAGUCUGCAUCAGAAACUGCCGGGCUUGAGUAUGGGAGAGGUGAGUGGAAUUUCCGGUGUAGCGGUGAAAUGCGUAGAUAUCGGAAGGAACACCUGUGGCGAAAGCGGCUCACUGGACCAUAACUGACGCUGAUGCACGAAAGCUAGGGGAGCAAACAGGAUUAGAUACCCUGGUAGUCCUAGCCCUAAACGAUGAUUGCUUGGUGUGGCAGGUACCCAAUCCUGCCGUGCCGAAGCUAACGCGAUAAGCAAUCCGCCUGGGGAGUACGGUCGCAAGGCUGAAACUCAAAAGAA
rnacentral:rRNA from 1 species